AAGUCGUAACAAGGUUUCCGUAGGUGAACCUGCGGAAGGAUCAUUACCUUUUGCUUAUGGCACUCCCUAGGCAUGGCCUAUGGGUUUGUUAAGGCAAUAAACCCUUGUCUACAAUACCUUGUCUAUCCUUUGGCAGCAUAAGGCUGCCAUGGGACCUACACAACCCUCUUUAUAGUAGCCUAUCUGAACAUGAUAAUAAUUAUAACUUUCAACAAUGGAUCUCUUGGCUCUGGCAUCGAUGAAGAACGCAGCGAAAUGCGAUAAGUAGUGUGAAUUGCAGACUUUAGUGAAUCAUUGAAUCUUUGAACGCACAUUGCGCCUUUUGGAAUUCCACUAGGCAUGCCUGUUCGAGCGUCAUAUACUCCUUCAAGCACUAGCUUGGUGUUGGGUGUUUGUUCUGCAUAAUGUAAGGAACUCGCCUUGAAGGCUUUUGGCAGUUAGCCUGUCAGCUUUUUACGCAGCACUUGCGUCUUCUAGGCUAGGCAGGCUAACAACCCAGCAAGCAACCCCUUUAGUUUGACCUCGAAUCAGGUAGGGUUACCCGCUGAACUUAAGCAUAUCAAUAAGCGGAGGAAAAGAAACCAACAGGGAUUGCCCUAGUAACGGCGAGUGAAGCGGCAAAAGCUCAAAUUUGAAAUCUGGCUUUAUAAGAAGCCCGAGUUGUACUUUGUAGAGGGUGCUUUAGUAUUGGCAGCGGUCUAAGUUCCUUGGAAGAGGACGUCAUAGAGGGUGAGAAUCCCGUAUGGGAUCGCCUGCCUUUGCUGUGUAAAGCCCCUUCGACGAGUCGAGUUGUUUGGGAAUGCAGCUCUAAAUGGGAGGUAAAUUUCUUCUAAAGCUAAAUACUAGCCAGAGACCGAUAGCGCACAAGUAGAGUGAUCGAAAGAUGAAAAGCACUUUGGAAAGAGAGUUAAAUAGCACGUGAAAUUGUUGAAAGGGAAGCGCUUGUAGCCAGACUUGCCCAUGGUUGUUUUCUUCUAUGGGCAGGCCAGCAUCAGUUUGGGUGGUUGGAAAAGAGCCUCUGUCAUGUAUCAUCCCUCAACCAGAUGACCUUAUAGGGGAGGCAUAGUACAACCAGCCCAGACUGAGGUCCGCGCAUCUGCUAGGAUGCUGGCGUAAUGGCUGUCAGCGGCC
rnacentral:rRNA from 1 species